AACGAACGCUGGCGGCAUGCCUAACACAUGCAAGUCGAACGAGACCUUCGGGUCUAGUGGCGCACGGGUGCGUAACGCGUGGGAACCUGCCCUUAGGUUCGGAAUAACUCCCCGAAAGGGGUGCUAAUACCGGAUAAUGUCUUCGGACCAAAGAUUUAUCGCCUUUGGAUGGGCCCGCGUUGGAUUCGCGAGUUGGUGGGGUAAAAGCCUACCAAGGCGACGAUCCAUAGCUGGUCUGAGAGGAUGAUCAGCCACACUGGGACUGGGACACGGCCCAGACUCCUACGGGAGGCAGCAGAGGGGAAUAUUGGACAAUGGGCGAAAGCCUGAUCCAGCAAUGCCGGGUGAGUGAUGAAGGCCUUAGGGUUGUGAAGCUCUUUUACCCGGGAUGAUAAUGACGGUACCGGGAGAAUAAGCUCCGGCUAACUCCGUG
rnacentral:rRNA from 1 species